UUAGUUCACCGUCGGCGGCCUUUUAGCCAUUGCUUUGUCGAUUUGAUUAUCAAGGUGUCCCGUCCCGUGUGUUAAUUAAAGGUCAAAUUGACGGCAUUUUGGUUAGAUUGACGCGUUGGCGUGUGAGUGGCUAAUUGAAUGUUUGUGUUGGCCGGCUCCCUGCUUGUGCAGCGAACUGUCGGCGCAUACAUUUUUCAGUCUAGACGGAGUUAUGGUUGUUGGAUUUUUGUGUUGCCUACCCAAUUGAUGGAAUUCUUAUGGCGGCUAAUGUGUAAAUUCGUCGAACACCACUUGUGGUGCUAGGCGGACGUUGAAGCCACCCCUUUUUUUGCCAUGUGCUUUCUUUUUCGGGAACCAUGGAAAAAUGGCGGUGUUGCUUGUUGCCUCGGAUGCAUAGCAUGAAGCGAGUAUGUUGCCUGUCCUCAUUGCUCAUUCAGAGCUCUCGGUUGCUCGGAAAGAAAGACCGUCGCGCUUGUUUUUGGCUGUCGACUUGUCGAUCUAGCUCUUAACUUUGCCGACGUCUUCGAUGAUUGCUACCUGGGUGAUCCUGCCAGUAGUCAUAUGCUUGUCUCAAAGAUUAAGCCAUGCAGGGUGUAAGUAA
rnacentral:misc_RNA from 1 species